GCCCAACUAAAUCUAGCCAAUCAUAUACUCCAGCCCACCCCCAAAAAAACCAAAACAUUUACCACGGCCAGUAAAUGAGAUUAAACCCCACCAAUUUAGGCCUUAAAAGUACCGCAAGGGAACAAUGAAAGAACAAUGAAACAACUCAAGCAUAAAACAGCAAAGACUAACCCCUGUACCUCCUGCAUCAUGGUUUAGCAAAACCUUUUCAGACAAAGAGAACCUUUAGCCUGCCCCCCCGAAACCAAACGAGCUAUUUUUAGGCAGUUAAUAAGAACACACCCGUCCCUGUAGCAAAAGGGUGGGAAGACCUAAAAAUAGAGGCGAAAAGCCAAUCGAGCUUGGUGAUAGCUGGCUACUCAAUAAAAGAAUUUAAGUUCAACUUUAGAUUUCCAGAGCCCACUUACCUCAACCUCACCCUUAUAAAUCUAAAGGAAAUCAAUGGGGGUACAGCCCCAUUGAACCGGAAUACAGCCCGAACCGAGAGAUAAUAUAACCCCUUCUUUUUCAGUGGGCCUCAAAGCAGCCACCAAAAACCGCGUUAAAGCAAAAACUAAAACAAUUCUACCAACUAAACUACCCUCCCGAUUCAUUCUGAGUUAUUCUAUAAUAAUAUAGAAAAACAAAUGCUAAAAUUAGUAAUAAGAAACACUAAUUUCUCUCCGCACCCCUUUAAGCCAGAAUAGAAAAACUACUGGCAAUUAACAAAUUUAAUCCAACCUAUCUACUACAUUCAAGCCCUAAUAUUACCCAAAUUGUUACCCCAACACAGGUGUGCAAAAAAGAAAGGCAAAAAACCGUAAAAGGAACUCGGCAAUACUUAGUCCCAACUGUUUACCAAAAACAUAGCCUUUAGCCCUACUAGUAUUAAAGGUCUUGCCUGCCCAGUGACUCUUUAAACGGCCGCGGUAUCCUAACCGUGCAAAGGUAGCAUAAUCACUUGUCCCCUAAAUAGGGACUGGAAUGAAUGGCUAAAUGAGGACUAAACUGUCUCUUACAGGUUGGCCAAUGAAAUUGAUAUUCCAGUACAAAAGCUGGAAUAAACCCAUAAGACGAGAAGACCCUGUGGAGCUUUAAAGCCAAGUCCACUAAAUAUGGCUCUUGAAUUUUCAGUUGGGGCGACUUUGGAGUAAAACAAAACCUCCAAGAAAACUUCUAUUGAGGUUAACACACCAAAAUAAUAAUACAGACCCAGCAAUAAUUCCAACCAAUUGCCUGAUCAAUGAACCAAGUUACCCCAGGGAUAACAGCGCCAUCCCCUUUUAGAGUCCCUAUCGACAAGGGGGUUUACGACCUCGAUGUUGGAUCAGGACACCCCAAUGGUGCAGCCGCCAUUAAAGGUUCGUUUGUUCAACGAUUAAAGUCCUACGUGAUCUGAGUUCAGACCGGAGCAAUCCAGGUCGGUUUCUAUCUAUGCAACACUGUUCUCAGUACGAAAGGACCAGAACAGUAGGACCCAUAUUAAAUAAACGUCCUAACUAAAAUUACUGAUAAUACUUAAGUAAUUAUCGUGGCCCUCCCCAGCCCUAAAAUAGGGCUU
rnacentral:rRNA from 1 species